AUUGAACGCUGGCGGCAGGCCUAACACAUGCAAGUCGAGCGAGCGGCGGACGGGUGAGUAAUGUAUGGGGAUCUGGCCGAUGGAGGGGGAUAACUACUGGAAACGGUGGCUAAUACCGCAUACUAUCGGAUGAACCCAUGUGGGAUUAGGUAGUAGGUGGGGUAAAGGCUCACCAAGCCGACGAUCUCUAGCUGGUCUGAGAGGAUGACCAGCCACACUGGGACUGAGACACGGCCCAGACUCCUACGGGAGGCAGCAGUGGGGAAUAUUGCGCAAUGGGCGCAACCCUGAUGCAGCCAUGCCGCGUGUAUGAAGAAGGCCUUAGGGUUGUAAAGUUCUUUCGGCAGGGAGGCGUUACCCGCAGAAGAAGCACCGGCUAACUCCGUGCCAGCAGCCGCGGUAAUAC
rnacentral:rRNA from 1 species